rnacentral:rRNA from 1 species
GACGAACGCUGGCGGCGUGCUUAACACAUGCAAGUCGAACGGAAAGGCCCUUCGGGGUACUCGUGCGGGGAACGGGUGAGUAACACUUGCGUAACCUUCACCUGCCUUUGGGUUUACCCUCGCUUCCGGAGGCUAAUACUGGUUCCGGAUCGGCUCCGCAUGGGCAUUGUGUGGGUUGUAUGUCGGUUUGGGAUGGGCUCGCGGCCUAUCAGCUUGUUGGUGGGGUGAUGGCCUACCAAGGCGACGACGGGUAGCCGGCCUGAGAGGGCGACCGGCCACACUGGGACUGAGACACGGCCCAGACUCCUACGGGAGGCAGCAGUGGGGAAUAUUGCACAAUGGGCGGAAGCCUGAUGCAGCAACGCCGCGUGAGGGAUGACGGCCUUCGGGUUGUAAACCGCUUUCGGCAGGGACGAAGCGUAAGUGACGGUACCGGCAGAAGAAGCGCCGGCCAACUACGUG